AUGGAGUGUGAGAGCAAGACCAGCCUUUGGGAUCUGAUACACAGUAAGGAGAAACUCGGGAUGGAGACGGUAAUCUUUUUUUCAGCAGAACUGGUAGUAGGCCUCCAGUUCCUUCACAGCAGAGGGAUUGUACAUCGGGAUUUAAAGCCUGAUAAUAUUUUAAUAAGCAAAGAUGGCCACAUCAAGAUCGUGGAUUUUGGACUGGUAGCAGAGGACGUUUCCAAGGGAAUGAAGCUGAAGGCCGUCGUUGGAAACUUUAAA